rnacentral:lncRNA from 1 species
CAGGCACAUCUUCCAGGGCUGGACCAGGAGGUAGAGAGCAAGUGGGGAGGUGCCACACACUUUUAAACAACAUGCUUAGCUUCAUUCUCCAACCCAUUCAUCACAAAUCUUUUGGCAAUGAAAAAAAACAUUCAUUUUUUAAAAAUGAGAAUUUAAAGUAGUGAAUCCACAAAACACAGCUUUUCAUUUUUAAACUAGUGAAAGAUACAUACAUAGGUUUGUUCGUUUAUGCUAGACAGAGGAGAGAAAGAGAAAGGUAAUAUUCACCUAUUAGUCGCCAAGUGCAAUUAUGGUGUAAGUACUGCUAAAAAGCCCACUAUCUGCAGUCAGAAUCAAGAAUUUGAUACGCAUGGAAAAACUUAAAAGAGACCACUAAUUUUCCCAAAUAUUUAUAUAGAUAAAAUAUGACCUUAGUCUAAUUAUGCAAAAUCAUUUUAACAGACCUGUCCAUCCACUGCCAGCUUCCCAGUUGUUUCCUCUGCUUAUGGGUCAGCACAACUGAGAUAAAGCUGAACCCCUCACCUAGGAUGCCCUGCUUCUAAGCUGGCUGCCACCAGCAUCCCCAGUUGUAGUCCUCGUUCACCACCUUGACACCUGGCAGCUGGACACAGUGAGGUUAACCCUCCUUGGACUUACUGUGUGUAAAAGGGGGCAUAGAAAGAGUGGAUUCCAUACAGAAUUUAGUGGUGACAAAGGAAUUGUAAACUUAUUUUGCUAAGAGAGGACAUCUUCUAGGAGAUCCUGUUGUGGAAUGAAACACUGCCCAGAGAAACGAUGAGGACUCAAGAGCCAGAGCGCCUGUCUGCAGGAGCGAGGGCACAUCCGACCGUGAGGGAGUGCAGGCAGGAGGCAGAGGCGGGUCACUAGUCACCAUCAGGACAGCUCAGACAGAAGAGACGUCAGCCAGUUAGUGCAUGCUGUGGUGAGAAUGCUCGGACGUUCAGUCUGCUUAGUAUCAUCAACCUCGUGAAAAUUGCUAUUGAGUGAGAAGAGACCUAAAGAGAGGGAGUACACAGCCACCAGCCAUGGUGGCUCACAUCCAUGAUCCCAGCACUUUGGGAGGCUGAGGCAGGAGGACCACUUGAGGCCAGGAGUUUGAGACUAGCCUGGUCAACUUACCAAGACCCCCAUCUCUACAGAAAAAUGUUAAAAAAAUUAGUUAGGUGUGGUUUCACGUGCGUGUAGUCCCAGCCACUUGGGAGGCUGAGGCAGGAAGAUCAUUUGAGCCCAGGAGUUUGAGAUCAGCCUGGGUAACAUGGCAAAAUCCCAUCUGUACAAAAAAUACAAAAAAAAAAUAGCCGGGCAUGGUGGUGUGCGCCUGUGGUCCCAGCUACUCAGGACCCUGAGGUGGGAGGAUGGCUUGAGCCCAGGAGGUUGAGGCUGCAGUGAGCCAUGAUUGUGCCACUGCACUGCAGCUUGGGCGACAGAGCAAGACUCUGUCUCUAAAUAAAUAAAGAGAAGGAUUAGAAUAAGGAUCUGAAUUGUGUAGUUUCUGAAUUCAGAAACCUCGUAGUUCUGAGAACUUUGGCCACCAAUGGGUUGUGAGCUGGAAAGUUAAUGUCGCUCUUUGGCUUGGGUGUUUCCUGAAUCAAGUGAGUCCUUUAAUUGUGCUAAGGUGAGUAAGGAGCUUAGGGUGGUGCCUGGAUCACAGCCAGGCUCCCAGUAAGGGAGCCAUCCACAAGAGGAUACACAAUGCAACUGAU